GGGCCGGUGGUCUAGGGGUUAGGAUACCUCGCUUACAACGAGGUGGUCGCGAGUUCGAAUCUCGCCCGGCCCAC
rnacentral:tRNA from 1 species